rnacentral:rRNA from 1 species
UACAGAGGGUGCGAGCGUUGUUCUGAAUUACUGGGCGUAAAGCGCGCGCAGGCGGCUUUUUAAGUCCGACGGUGAAAUGCCGGGGCUCAACCCCGUGCCCGCCGCGGAUACUGGGAAGCUGGAGACGAGUAGAGGCAAGCGGAAUUCCGGGUGUAGCGGUGGAAUGCGUAGAGAUCCGGAAGAACACCGGAGGCGAAGGCGGCUUGCUGGGCUCGGUCUGACGCUGAGGCGCGAAAGCGUGGGGAGCGAACAGG